UACGAAGGGGGCUAGCGUUGCUCGGAAUCACUGGGCGUAAAGGGUGCGUAGGCGGGUCUUUAAGUCAGGGGUGAAAUCCUGGAGCUCAACUCCAGAACUGCCUUUGAUACUGAAGAUCUUGAGUUCGGGAGAGGUGAGUGGAACUGCGAGUGUAGAGGUGAAAUUCGUAGAUAUUCGCAAGAACACCAGUGGCGAAGGCGGCUCACUGGCCCGGUACUGACGUUGAGGUGCGAAAGCGUGGGUAGCAAACAGG
rnacentral:rRNA from 1 species